rnacentral:rRNA from 1 species
AGACUCCUACGGGAGGCAGCAGUAGGGAAUCUUCCGCAAUGGACGAAAGUCUGACGGAGCAACGCCGCGUGAGUGAUGAAGGUUUUCGGAUCGUAAAGCUCUGUUGUUAGGGAAGAACAAGUACCGUUCGAAUAGGGCGGUACCUUGACGGUACCUAACCAGAAAGCCACGGCUAACUACGUGCCAGCAGCCGCGGUAAUACGUAGGUGGCAAGCGUUGUCCGGAAUUAUUGGGCGUAAAGGGCUCGCAGGCGGUUUCUUAAGUCUGAUGUGAAAGCCCCCGGCUCAACCGGGGAGGGUCAUUGGAAACUG